UAUAUUAGAAUUUGCCGAAAUUUCCGGUGCCGGUGUCCGGCAAGAAUAUCCGGUGAAGCUCUCUCUUCUAUUAUAAAACGUUUCCUCUUUUAGCUUCAUGGGCGAAUUGGCAGAAGCCUCGCAACAUUGCCGCGUAUGCCAUGAAGGCGUCUGCUCUUCUGGACAGAUGUCGACAGCCCUCAGCCCAUCAAUCGAGCUCGAUGGCAGUGAGUGUGUGGAGCUGGCCUACAAUCUGAAAGGAGUCGCGGCGCUGGCCCUGGACCAACAGUCCGAUAUGAUCUACUAUGCCAUGGCAAGCGAAUCGAUGUAAUAGACAUCAAUGGAAAGAACAAGAAAACCCUUGUUUCCAUGCACAUCUCGCAGGUGAUCAACAUUGGCGCCUUGGCCGGAUUUGUGUACUGGCUGGACGACGAUAAGACCGGAGCGGAGCGGAUCACUGUCAACGGAGAUCGUCGUUCCGCGAAGCUGCAGCUUCUGUCGCAGUUCACCGGCAUCCAAGCGAAGUGCUUGUUGUUUCCACAUCUGCAUAGCCAGCGGGGUGUGACACGCAGUACUCACGACGUCUGCUCGUGCCCCAAGCAUCUGAUGCUACUACGGCGUGUGUCCGGAUAAUUUUAAGUGGCGAUAAUAGUGACAUAAGCAACGACUGUAUAUCCGUCUCCUGCCACUGUGACGAAAGGACUGCGAGGGCAGCGAGAAGGCUCUGGUCUGCGAUGGUUGCCGACUGCUGCAAUCGGCCAGGAGACUUUCAGUGUCACAUCAACAAGCUUUGCAUAUCGACCAAGCAGAUCAAUGAGAUGUAUCAAGUCAGCCCAAGCCCAAAACUGUUAAUCUCGUUGAUGACAGUCCACCAUUGAGUCCCAUCCCAACGCAGACUCCGCUCAAUGAUGCGACCAAUGAUCUGUCUAGGCCCAUCUUUAAUGCCGGGCCGUCGUCUUUGAGUGCCAAGCCGAGUCAAAAUUUUCCAAAAAAGCCUGCGAAACCGUUGCCAAAGUUUCUCUUUGAUGAUGAUCUGGAAGAUGACUGUCUAAGCUGGUUUUCGUCCAAGCCAAAGCCACCAGAACAAAAACCUAAAUCCUCCCUAUUCGAUGACGAUGGUUUGGAUUUAGAUGAUAAAUUUGUCAAGGUAUCUUCAUAUAAAAUAAACGAAAUAGGGUAUACAAUGGCCAUACUCCGGUUGACAAGCCACAAGUCUUCAAAUACCAGCAACAUUGACGUGACAACACUGCGACUGUUUUUUUGUUAAACUUUUUUGUUUAAGCCUUGUUUUAUUAAAAAUACAAUAAAUGGGAAUACUAAAAAGUAGUUACCUUGUAGUAGUUAAAAUGUAUUCAUCAAUAGGAUAAAACUAUGUGGGCAGGGCUGAAGGUUUUAGUUAGCCAGCAUUAUUGAACGGAAUAUUAAAAUUGAGCAAUAGAAACUAAUACUCUAAAAGGUUUUUA